UUGGAGGGCAAGUCUGGUGCCAGCAGCCGCGGUAAUUCCAGCUCCAAUAGCGUAUAUUAAAGUUGCUGCAGUUGAAAAGCUCGUAGUUGAAUUUCGGGACCAUCAUGUCGGUCGUGCCUCGGUACGUACUGGCAUUGUUGGUUUCUCCCUUCUGACGAACCAUGAUGUCAUUUAUUUGGUGUUGUGGGGAAUCAGGACUGUUACUUUGAAAAAAUUAGAGUGUUUAAAGCAGGCUCACGCUUGAAUACAUUAGCAUGGAAUAAUGAAAUAGGACGUUUGAUUCUAUUUUGUUGGUUUCUAGGAUCGACGUAAUGAUUAAUAGGGAUAGUUGGGGGCAUUAGUAUUUAAUUGUCAGAGGUGAAAUUCUUGGAUUUAUUGAAGACUAACUACUGCGAAAGCAUUUGCCAAGGAUGUUUUCAUUAAUCAAGAACGAAAGUUAGGGGAUCGAAGACGAUCAGAUACCGUCGUAGUCUUAACCAUAAACUAUGCCGACUAGGGAUCGGAUGAUGUUAAUUUUUUAAUGGCUCAUUCGGCGCCUUACGGGAAAC
rnacentral:rRNA from 1 species